AAAGUUGUCCUUUCAGUAUCUGUUCUUAUCAGCUUAAUAUCUGAUACGAGUCCUAUUUGGACUCAAGAUAUUAAACUAAUUUUUGCCACUUGGCGUGUGAAGGGGCUUGCUCCUCCGGCGCCGCGGGUUGUCCCAGCGUUGCACUGAUGCCGGGUUCGGCCCGAGACCC
rnacentral:snRNA from 1 species